AAGGAGGUGACGGCGUGAAGUGCGUCGUCCUCGGCGCGAGAGAUCAGGUUUGUUUUUAUCUAAUUGACAGUGCGAACUAUGUUGAAAAUCAGAACGCACGGGCCUGUGCAUUAUUUUCUCAAAAAUUUUAAAAUAAAGAAAAAAUGGUUGGGCCAGUGCAAUGCAUUUCUUCUUUUGGCAUGGGCGAGAUGUAGAACUAAUUGACUUUGAUGCGUGUUUUAUUUAUUUUGAGCAUUGAUGGCCUCCACGUUCUGCAGGUAUUUGGACAUUGUCAUGGGCUUUAAAGACAACCUCAUAAUCCACAAAGCUUGCGAUUUAGUUGUUCAGUUCAAUUUGUGCUUGCUUUUAAUGCUCACGAUAUUUUGAUUAGCAAGAGGUUUCCUUUUACCAAACAUAAAUCUAAAAUAUCGUGUAUGUCAUGGUUGGAACAUGGAAGGCUUUUGUUUCUUAUGAUUUAUAUUCUUCAUCUUCUGGUAAUUAUUAUGCGCAAAGUUCACCACAACGGUAACCUCAAUAAGAUGAAUGUGGCGUUUCAUUGCUUCCUUGGACGUCAUUGGGAAGUCUUCUUUUUCCAUAAGACAAUUGAUGCUGUCCUUUUCUUUUAAAACUCCUCAUCAAGUUUUAUUGAUUCCCUAUAUAUAUAUAAUCUGGAUGUAUGAAAAGUAAUCCGGAAGCCUUUCUGUUUUUGGAAUGGUUUGUGGAAUUUGGGCUUCUGUACUCAUCAGUUCGUUGCCUCAUGUGCUAGUUGUCUGGAGUUGAAAUUCUAUUUUUCUACUCCGAUGUGUUCGAUUUGGUUUAGGUUUUAACUUUUAUCUGGAACCCUUCUUGAUGUUGGAUUUCGUGUACUUUAUUUGGAGCUAGGUUUAAGUCUUGUUAUUAUGUUCAUCUUAAGAUAUAGUUUCAUGUAUGAAACAUACAUUCUACUUUUGCUGCAAUGUAAGAAAAUAGUUUUUAAGUCCAAAUGAAUCCAAAGGUUCUACUUCUACCUGAGAUCGAGCUACUUUUUUUAAACUCGAAAAGGUCGUUGUUUUUAUAAGCAUCAGUAGUCUUCCUACCUCCUGGUACUAUGUGAUAGUCAAAGUAAACAUUUCAAUUUUGUAAACAUUAGCUGAUGAAGGAUGUCUUUUUUAUCUUGUGCAGUGCCAUUUGUGUUCUGUACGGCCUAAAGCAACUGCUUUAAACCUUAAGAUCCACGUUAAAGGUGUUGGAUCUAUUCUUAAGAAGAUUGAAAGAUGGAUGAAUGAUUUUUUUUUGUCUAUCUGCUAAUCUUAGGAGGAUCUGAAGUAGACCGAGAAAACUACCUAAAAGUCUUCGGAGUGUCAGUGGUUCGUAUGGCAAGCCUGGCAAUGCUUUAGUCUUUAAAAAAGCUUCAUGCUGCUUCACAUAUUAAGUGGCAUGCAAUACAGUUGUAUCCUUGCAGUCAUUUUAUACAAGCUUGUAGAAGUAGUGGAUACGUGGUAGCAUAGUCCUGUCUCAAUAAGAGGAUUGACUCUGGAACUCAAACUAUGUAGACGAAUAGAGACGUAGGUUCAUGGCUUGUUAGGGGAGAAAUUGGGUGCUUUAUUGUACUAUUCUCACUUGUGAAGAGUUUCGGAAAAUCGAAUUGCAGCCUAAAGCUAAUUGUGUUAACUCUUUUUUCUUCAA